rnacentral:rRNA from 1 species
GACGAACGCUGGCGGCGUGCUUAACACAUGCAAGUAGAGCGGAGCGGCGAACGGGUGAGUAACGCGUGAGUAACUGCCCCCCUCUCUUGGCUAACAGUUGGAAACGGCUGCUAAUACCGGAUAGUGGGGUAUGACUCGCAGCCGCUAAGCUUGUUGGUGGGGACGUGGCCUACCAAGGCGACGACGAGGAGCCGGCCUGAGAGGGCGACCGGCCACAUUGGGCUGAGAUACGGCCCAAACGCCUACGGGAGGCAGCAGGGGGGAAUAUGGCACAAUGGGGGAAACCCUGAUGCAGCAACGCCGCGUGCGGGAUGACGGCCUUCGGGUUGUAAACCGCUUUCAGCCAUGACGCGGUAGUGGCAGAAGAAGCACCGGCUAACUACGUGCCAGCAGCCGCGGUAAUAC